GUGCUCACUUUGGCAGCACAUACACUAAAAUUAGAACAAUACAGAGAAGAUUCUCAUAGCCCCUUAAUAAGAAUGACAAGCAAAUUCAUGAAGCAUUCCAUAUUUUU